CGCGGCCUAUCAGCUUGUUGGUGGGGUAACGGCCUACCAAGGCUAUGACGGGUAGCUGGCGUGAGAGCGCGACCAGUCACACUGGGACUGAGACACGGCUCAGACUCCUACGGGAGGCAGCAGUAGGGAAUCUUGCACAAUGAGCGCAAGCUUGAUGCAGCGACGCCGCGUGUGGGACGACGGCCUUCGGGUUGUAAACCACUUUCAGCGGGGACGAAGCCCUUUGGGUGACGGUACCCGCAGAAGAAGGUCCGGCCAACUACGUGCCAGCAGCCGCGGUAACACGUAGGGACCGAGCGUUGUCCGGAAUCAUUGGGCGUAAAGAGCGCGUAGGCGGCUAUCCACGUCGGGUGUGAAAGCUCAGGGCUCAACCCUGAGAGGCCAUUCGAUACGGGAUAGCUAGAGGCAGCUUGGGGAGAGUGGAAUUCCUGGUGUAGCGGUGAAAUGCGCAGAUAUCAGGAGGAACACCGGUGGCGAAGGCGGCUCUCUGGGGCUGAUCUGACGCUGAGGCGCGAAAGCUGGGGGAGCAAACAGGAUUAGAUACCCUGGUAGUCCCAGCCGUAAACGUUGGGUGCUAGGUGUGGGGAGGUCUUCAACCCUCUCCGUGCCGAAGCUAACGCAUUAAGCACCCCGCCUGGGGAGUACGG
rnacentral:rRNA from 1 species